UACAGAGGAUGCAAGCGUUAUCCGGAAUGAUUGGGCGUAAAGCGUCUGUAGGUGGCUUCUUAAGUCCGCCGUCAAAUCCCAGGGCUCAACUCUGGACAGGCGGUGGAAACUACCAAGCUGGAGUACGGUAGGGGCAGAGGGAAUUUCCGGUGGAGCGGUGAAAUGCGUAGAGAUCGGAAGGAACACCAGUGGCGAAGGCGGGUCUCUGGGCCGAUACUGACGCUGAGGAGCGAAAGCGUGGGGAGCGAACAGG
rnacentral:rRNA from 1 species